AGGGUUCGAUCAUGGCUCAGAACGAACGCUGGCGGCAGGCCUUAUACAUGCAAGUCGAGCGCAUCCUUCGGGAUGAGCGGCGGACGGGUGAGUAACGCGUGGGAAUGUGCCCUUCUCUACGGAAUAGCCACUGGAAACGGUGAGUAAUACCGUAUACGCCCUUUGGGGGAAAGAUUUAUCGGAGAAGGAUCAGCCCGCGUUAGAUUAGGUAGUUGGUGGGGUAAUGGCCUACCAAGCCUACGAUCUAUAGCUGGUUUUAGAGGAUGAUCAGCCACACUGGGACUGAGACACGGCCCAGACUCCUACGGGAGGCAGCAGUAGGGAAUCUUGGACAAUGGGGGAAACCCUGAUCCAGCCAUGCCGCGUGAGUGAAGAAGGCCCUAGGGUCGUAAAGCUCUUUCGCCUGUGAUGAUAAUGACAGUAGCAGGUAAAGAAACCCCGGCUAACUCCGUGCCAGCAGCCGCGGUAAUAC
rnacentral:rRNA from 1 species